rnacentral:rRNA from 1 species
CCUACGGGUGGCAGCAGUCGAGAAUCAUUCACAAUGGGGGAAACCCUGAUGGUGCGACGCCGCGUGGAGGAAUGAAGGCCUUCGGAUUGUAAGCCCCUGUCAUGUGGGAGCAAAUUAAAAAGAUAGUACCACAAGAGGAUGAGACGGCUAACUCUGUGCCCGCAGCCGCGGUAUUACAGAGGUCUCAAGCGUUGUUCGGAAUCACAGGGCGUAAAGGGUGCGUAGGCUGUUUCGUAAGUCGUGUGUGAAAGGCGCGGGCUCAACCCGCGGACGGCACAUGAUACUGGGAGACUAGAGUAAGGUAGGGGGAAGCGGAAUUCGCGGUGUAGCAGUGAAAUGCGUAGAUAUCGGGAGGAACACUCGUGGCGAAGGCGGGUUCCUGGACAUUAACUGACGCUGAGGCACGAAGGCCAGGGGAGCGAAAGGGAUUAGAUACCCGUGUAGUC